UGGCUCAGUGGUAGAGUGCUUGCCUCAUAUGUAUGAGGCACUGAGUUCGAGUCUCAG
rnacentral:tRNA from 1 species